rnacentral:tRNA from 1 species
UGUUUAAUAAUUUAACUAAAAAUAUUAAAUUGCAAAUUUAAAUAUAUUAUUAUAUAAUUUAAACAU